rnacentral:misc_RNA from 1 species
AAGAAAACGAAGAAACAAAGAUAUGGGUAUUUUGCACGACGAUGUGGUGCUUGUCAGGCCAUCGGAGAAAGACGAUGAGCCAACCGUCAUCACUGUCAAUUGCCCCGAUAAAACUGGGUUGGGCUGCGACUUGUGCCGCAUAAUUCUCUUUUUUGGUCUAAACAUUGUCAGAGGCGAUGUUACAACCGAUGGUAAAUGGUGCUACAUAGUGUUUUGGGU